GACUUCAUGGUGUUGUGGUCAGCACACUUGACACGUAACCGAGAAAUCCCUGGUUCGAUUCCCGGUGAAGGUG
rnacentral:tRNA from 1 species